GACGAACCGUCCAAACGUUAUUCGGAAUCACUGGGCUUACAGAGUUCGUAGGCGGUCUGGAAAGUUGGGUGUGAAAUCCCUCGGCUCAACCGAGGAACUGCGCUCAAAACUACCAGACUCGAGGGAGAUAGAGGAAAGCGGAACUGAUGGUGGAGCGGUGAAAUGCGUUGAUAUCAUCAGGAACACCAGUGGCGAAGGCGACCCACUGGGUCAUUUCUGACGCUGAUGCACGAAAGCCAGGGGAGCAAACGGG
rnacentral:rRNA from 1 species